rnacentral:rRNA from 1 species
GAUGAACGCUGGCGGCGUGCCUAAUACAUGCAAGUCGAUCGGAAUGUAGCAAUACAUUAAGAGGCGAACGGGUGAGUAACACGUAGGUAAUCUGCCCCAAGGACUGGGAUACCCAAGCGAAAGUUUGGCUAAUACCGGAUAUGAGGAAACUUAAAAGCAGCGUUAGCUGCACCAUGGGAUGAGCCUGCGGCGCAUUAGCUAGUUGGUGAGAUAAGAGCCCCACCAAGGCAAUGAUGCGUAGCCGACCUGAGAGGGUGAACGGCCACAUUGGAACUGAGACACGGUCCAGACUCCUACGGGAGGCAGCAGUAGGGAGUAUUCGGCAAUGGAGGGAACUCUGACCGAGCAACGCCGCGUGAAUGAUGAAGGUCUUCGGAUUGUAAAAUUCUGUUAUAUGGGAAGAAAGAUAAGAUAAGGAAAUGUAUUUUAUUUGACCGUACCAUAUGAGAAAGCCACGGCUAACUACGUG